rnacentral:rRNA from 1 species
AGAAGGGAGCUUGCUCCCGGAUGUUAGCGGCGGACGGGYGARUAACACGUGGGUAACCUGCCUGUAAGACUGGGAUAACUCCGGGAAACCGGAGCUAAUACCGGAUAGUUCCUUGAACCGCAUGGUUCAAGGAUGAAAGACGGUUUCGGCUGUCACUUACAGAUGGACCCGCGGCGCAUUAGCUAGUUGGUGGGGUAAUGGCUCACCAAGGCGACGAUGCGUAGCCGACCUGAGAGGGUGAUCGGCCACACUGGGACUGAGACACGGCCCAGACUCCUACGGGAGGCAGCAGUAGGGAAUCUUCCGCAAUGGACGAAAGUCUGACGGAGCAACGCCGCGUGAGUGAUGAAGGUUUUCGGAUCGUAAAGCUCUGUUGUUAGGGAAGAACAAGUGCGAGAGUAACUGCUCGCACCUUGACGGUACCUAACCAGAAAGCCACGGCUAACUACGUGCCAGCAGCCGCGGUAAUACGUAGGUGGCAAGCGUUGUCCGGAAUUAUUGGGCGUAAAGGGCUCGCAGGCGGUUUCUUAAGUCUGAUGUGAAAGCCCCCGGCUCAACCGGGGAGGGUCAUUGGAAACUGGGAAACUUGAGUGCAGAAGAGGAGAGUGGAAUUCCACGUGUAGCGGUGAAAUGCGUAGAGAUGUGGAGGAACACCAGUGGCGAAGGCGACUCUCUGGUCUGUAACUGACGCUGAGGAGCGAAAGCGUGGGGAGCGAACAGGAUUAGAUACCCUGGUAGUCCACGCCGUAAACGAUGAGUGCUAAGUGUUAGGGGGUUUCCGCCCCUUAGUGCUGCAGCUAACGCAUUAAGCACUCCGCCUGGGGAGUACGGUCGCAAGACUGAAACUCAAAGGAAUUGACGGGGGCCCGCACAAGCGGUGGAGCAUGUGGUUUAAUUCGAAGCAACGCGAAGAACCUUACCAGGUCUUGACAUCCUCUGACAACCCUAGAGAUAGGGCUUUCCCUUCGGGGACAGAGUGACAGGUGGUGCAUGGUUGUCGUCAGCUCGUGUCGUGAGAUGUUGGGUUAAGUCCCGCAACGAGCGCAACCCUUGAUCUUAGUUGCCAGCAUUCAGUUGGGCACUCUAAGGUGACUGCCGGUGACAAACCGGAGGAAGGUGGGGAUGACGUCAAAUCAUCAUGCCCCUUAUGACCUGGGCUACACACGUGCUACAAUGGACAGRACAAAGGGCUGCAAGACCGCAAGGUUUAGCCAAUCCCAUAAAUCUGUUCUCAGUUCGGAUCGCAGUCUGCAACUCGACUGC